UACCUGGUGGCUCAGAGGUUAAAGCGUCUGCCUGCAAUAUGGGAGACCUGGGUUCGAUUCCUGGUCAGGAAG
rnacentral:tRNA from 1 species